rnacentral:rRNA from 1 species
AACGAACGCUGGCGGCAUGCCUAACACAUGCAAGUCGAACGAUGCCUUCGGGCAUAGUGGCGCACGGGUGCGUAACGCGUGGGAAUCUGCCCUUGGCUUCGGAAUAACAGUUAGAAAUGACUGCUAAUACCGGAUGAUGUCCCCCUGAGAGAUCUUGGGGACCAAAGAUUUAUCGGCCAGGGAUGAGCCCGCGUAGGAUUAGGUAGUUGGUGGGGUAAAGGCCUACCAAGCCGACGAUCCUUAGCUGGUCUGAGAGGAUGAUCAGCCACACUGGGACUGAGACACGGCCCAGACUCCUACGGGAGGCAGCAGUGGGGAAUAUUGGACAAUGGGGGGAACCCUGAUCCAGCAAUGCCGCGUGAGUGAUGAAGGCCUUAGGGUUGUAAAGCUCUUUUACCAGGGAUGAUAAUGACAGUACCUGGAGAAUAAGCUCCGGCUAACCCCGUG